CCUGACCAACAUGGAGAAACCCUGUCUCUACAAAAAAUAAAAAAAAUUAGCUGGGCGUGGCGGCACAUGCCUGUAAUUCCAGCUACUCGAGAGGCUGAGGCAGGAGAAUCGCUUCAACCCGGGAGGUGGAGGUUGCGGUGAGCCGAGAUCGCGCCAUUGCACUCUAGCCUGAGCAACAAGAGCGAAACUCUGUCUCAAAAAAAAAAAAAGAAAAAAGAAAAAAGAAAAAAAAGAUGUUCCGUCUUUCUGGUUAAGUACAUCCAAGACUUCCAGAAAAGAGUCACCACAAGGAGUGAAUUAGUUCCCUUUUUCCCUUAAAUUUGUGCUCUAUAUGAUCCAAGAACCAGCUAUAGUCAUACCCAGGUGAGCUGAAUCUAGCCCCUUCAUAGCACACACUUUGUGGAUUAACUGGAAAAAGAACUAGACUAGAAGUUGGAAAACAGGUUUCACUGCAUCCCUUCACAGUGAAUGGCCCUUCUCUUCAGCACUCAUAUGGAGCUAAGUCUUCCAAGACCCUCAAUUUCCUCACAGGGGCUGUUUCAAGACCAGUACAGAAUACUAGUGUUGACUUAAACCUGGGCAAAGGGUCCCAUUUGGACCUCCUCUGGCUGUAUCCCUUCGCAUAGGCUGAGUCAAAAGGCAUCUAGAAAGUGCCUACCCGGAACUGUGAGCUCCCACCUCACUUCUGGACCAUGCUCUGAGAACUCAGCACCCUGGAUUUCCUGGACCAAAUGACUCUGAGGCCCCCUACACAGGACUCAACCCCAGGCCUGUAUUCAUGAGAGUGGACUCUGACUGAUGUACACACACGCUAGACCCUGAUUUUGUGUAAGGGAUUUGUAGACUGAGCUUGGAUGUGCAGGCUAGAAUGUGAGACACCUUGAAGUAUGGGCCAACACCAGGCAUGGGAA
rnacentral:lncRNA from 10 species